GUGUUCUCUUUGGUAGCACAUAUACUAAAAUUGGGAUGAUACAGAGGUUAGCAUGGCCCCUGCGCAAGAAUGACAUGCAAACUCAUGAAGCAUUCCAUAUUUUU
ensembl:snRNA U6 U6 spliceosomal RNA